GGUGGGGUAAAGGCCUACCAAGGCGACGAUCUGUAGCGGGUCUGAGAGGAUGAUCCGCCACACUGGGACUGAGACACGGCCCAGACUCCUACGGGAGGCAGCAGUGGGGAAUAUUGGACAAUGGGGGGAACCCUGAUCCAGCCAUGCCGCGUGUGUGAAGAAGGCCUUAUGGUUGUAAAGCACUUUAAGCGAGGAGGAGGCUACUUUAGUUAAUACCUAGAGAUAGUGGACGUUACUCGCAGAAUAAGCACCGGCUAACUCUGUGCCAGCAGCCGCGGUAAUACAGAGGGUGCAAGCGUUAAUCGGAUUUACUGGGCGUAAAGCGCGCGUAGGCGGCUAAUUAAGUCAAAUGUGAAAUCCCCGAGCUUAACUUGGGAAUUGCAUUCGAUACUGGUUAGCUAGAGUGUGGGAGAGGAUGGUAGAAUUCCAGGUGUAGCGGUGAAAUGCGUAGAGAUCUGGAGGAAUACCGAUGGCGAAGGCAGCCAUCUGGCCUAACACUGACGCUGAGGUGCGAAAGCAUGGGGAGCAAACAGGAUUAGAUACCCUGGUAGUCCAUGCCGUAAACGAUGUCUACUAGCCGUUGGGGCCUUUGAGGCUUUAGUGGCGCAGCUAACGCGAUAAGUAGACCGCCUGGGGAGUACGGUCGCAAGACUAAAACUCAAAUGAAUUGACGGGGGCCCGCACAAGCGGUGGAGCAUGUGGUUUAAUUCGAUGCAACGCGAAGAACCUUACCUGGCCUUGACAUAGUAAGAACUUUCCAGAGAUGGAUUGGUGCCUUCGGGAACUUACAUACAGGUGCUGCA
rnacentral:rRNA from 1 species